CCUACGGGGGGCAGCAGUGGGGGAUAUUGCACAAUGGGGGAAACCCUGAUGCAGCGACGCCGCGUGGGUGAAGAAGUAUUUCGGUAUGUAAAGCCCUAUCAGCAGGGAAGAAAGAAGACGGUACCUGACUAAGAAGCCCCGGCUAACUACGGGCCAGCAGCCGCGGUAAUACGUAGGGGGCGAGCGUUAUCCGGAUUCACUGGGUGUAAAGGGAGCGUAGACGGCCGUGCAAGCCAGGAGUGAAAGCCCGGGGCCCAACCCCGGGACUGCUCUUGGAACUGUGCGGCUGGAGUGCGGGAGGGGCAGGCGGAAUUCCUGGUGUAGCGGUGAAAUGCGUAGAUAUCAGGAGGAACACCGGCGGCGAAGGCGGCCUGCUGGACCGCGACUGACGUUGAGGCUCGAAAGCGUGGGGAGCGAACAGGAUUAGAUACCCCGGUAGUC
rnacentral:rRNA from 1 species